rnacentral:tRNA from 1 species
UGUGGGAGUGGGUGGGCGCGGGCUGCGGGCUCGCCGUCUUCAUCACUUCUUACAUUCGGGUGGUGUGCGGUUCGAUUCCGCGUUCCGAGC